rnacentral:rRNA from 1 species
GACGAACGCUGGCGGCGUGCCUAAUACAUGCAAGUAGAACGCACAGUUUAUACCGUAGCUUGCUACACCAUAAACUGUGAGUUGCGAACGGGUGAGUAACGCGUAGGUAACCUGCCUGGUAGCGGGGGAUAACUAUUGGAAACGGUAGCUAAUACCGCAUAAUAUUAAUUAUUGCAUGAUAAUUAAUUGAAAGGUGCAAUUGCACCACUACCAGAUGGACCUGCGUUGUAUUAGCUAGUAGGUGAGGUAACGGCUCACCUAGGCGACGAUACAUAGCCGACCUGAGAGGGUGGUCGGCCACACUGGGACUGAGACACGGCCCAGACUCCUACGGGAGGCAGCAGUAGGGAAUCUUCGGCAAUGGACGAAAGUCUGACCGAGCAACGCCGCGUGAGUGAAGAAGGUUUUCGGAUCGUAAAGCUCUGUUGUAAGAGAAGAACGGGUGUGAGAGUGGAAAGUUCACACUGUGACGGUAUCUUACCAGAAAGGGACGGCUAACUACGUG